GCGCCUGGGUUAAAGCAGCUCUUGUCAGGCUCAAAGCCAGCUUUUAGUCCCCUAGGGCCCACUGUGUCUGAAAGGAGCUCACAUCUCCUGGGCCCUACUGCCAGGGGAGACCUCAGUCCCCAAAGCCCUGCUGGAUUGACCAAGUCCCCACAGGCAGCUAGGGGCUCACUGAUGGAUGACUCAAACCUCUAAUGGCCACUUUUCCCCUCCAGUACUGGGGAUGGGACCCGGGGUGCUUCACCACUGAGCUGCAUCCCCAGCCCUUUUGAUUUUUUAUUUUGCGAUAGAGUCUUGCUACGUUGCCAAGGCUAACCUCGAACUUGGGAUCCUUGGGCCUCGGCCUCCUAAGUCACCUGGCAUUACAAGCUUGUGCCACUGCACCCUGCUUCCAUGAGGUUCGUCGAGACCAUCCCCUCAAGGCCAGAGUUACUAGGAGGAGUUCAGAAACGGCCCGAGUACCCUAUGAAUAAAUGUUCAGGGUUCCAUCCGGAGACACCCGUGGUGACUGAUGAGUCAUCUGAUGGCCAGCUGUCACCACAGAGCACUAUAUAUAGAAAGAAAGGCCAGAGGAGUGCCUGGGACCUAAUGCAGAGAGGAGGAGGUUGUACCGAGGAGGUGAGGCCCCAGCUGGGGGACAGGCCUACAGGACCUGGAAACUGCACCCACAGGUCUGCCCCAAAUGGACUCCGGGUGAGCCACUCCCCAGCACGGAACACUCCAUGGACUAGAAGCCACAAGGCUACAGCCAGGCUCUGCCAGCCCAUUAAUGAGGAUUACCACUAAUGAUGGUGGGGGAGGGGGAAUAAUGGCUCGGCCAAUUCUCCACGUGUCACUGCGUAGGUUUUCCCUCAUACAUGCACUUGAAGGCCACGUUCAUAUUGCUGUCAUUUAGGUGGCCAAAACGGAGGCUCGG
rnacentral:lncRNA from 1 species